CUUGGUCAUUUAGAGGAAGUAAAAGUCGUAACAAGGUUUCCGUAGGUGAACCUGCGGAAGGAUCAAUAAUGGAGAGUGGCGUGUUGCUGAGCCGAAGGCGAGGCAGGUGGAGCGCAAGCUCCACGGAGCAGACGCCCGCGAGGGUGGCUGUGGGCAGGAGAGAAAGGAGAAAAGUCUGACUAAGAAUCAAAAAGGAAAACUUGCAACAAUGGAUCUCUUGGCUCCUGCAACGAUGAAGAACGCAGUGAAGUGCGAAACGUGAUGCGAAUUGCAGCGCCUGUGAGUCAUCGAGUCUUUGAACGCACCUGGCACUGAAGGCGACUCUGGUACACCUGUUUGAGCGAGGAGAAGGAAGAGGUGGUGAGAAAGCGCUUAGUUUUCUGGCUGAAAGGGAUGGUGGGCGUGGCAGCCCGUGAGUCGUGAGGCAAGUCACUGCACACAGCACAGGCAGCCACACAAACCCACUCAACAACACACAUUCUCAAAUCAGGCGAGAGGACCCGCUGGACUUAAGCAUAUCAAUAAGCGGAGGA
rnacentral:rRNA from 1 species